rnacentral:lncRNA from 1 species
UUUCGUUGCUUUCUCCGGUGGUGGGCGCUCCUCGCCGCCACCGGAGUGACUCGUCCUCUUGUAUUUCGUUUUCUCUUCACCUCUCUCAUCAUCUCCUUUUUGUCUGUUAACAGAUCUAGAAAUUUUGGGGUUUGAAUCUGUUAGAUCUACAGAUCUUGAGUUGUUUCCCUUUUAGAUUUCUGGUGCAGAUGGUCAUGUUUUGUGUCAGCCUUGUUCGUUUGCUUCGUCUUGGCUUGUGCUUCAUCUUUUUAUCCCAUCUGUCGUAUGUUCCUUGUCAGAGAGGUUGAAAAUCUGAGGCGUUCUUGUUGGGUUUUAGUGUUUGUCCUCUUGGUUUUUGUUUCAGCAACGGUUUAAGCGGUGGUGUGUUGAUGGUGCGGUCAUGUGUUGACGGUGUAGUGGUGUGUGGUGAGCAGAGCAGGUCUAACACCUUUGAGAAGAGAAGAUUCAUGGUUCUGGUCGCCUCCAUCUCUCUGUUAUGAGCUCUUCUCCUGUCCUUUGAAUAAGUGUGUCUACCGGAUUGUCAUUUGCCUCUCUCGUCCUCGGUGGCUUCUGUUAGUUGAAGCAUUAUAAAGAGGUUGAGGCCUUUAGAUUUUCCGAUGAAGGUUCAGUUGAGAAGGGAGCUUUAGUGUAAGGCGUUUGUUUGCUUCUUGAGUUGGUUUUUGGUGUUAGACAUUGUGGUUCUGGCUUGGUUCAUGGAACUGAAGGUUCAUGUAAGUUUGGUCUGGUGUCGUAGUUGUGAAGGCCAUUGCAUCGCUUACUCUCUCUUGUCUGGCUCUCGGAAGAGAUCCGGCUGAUCAAAGCCAAUAGGUAUCAUCUCUAUUCUCACUACCAAGGAUUGUUCACGGGUUUGGAUGUAAGAGUGAAGAUUAAUCUAGUGAUCUUAGUAGUUGUUGUAUGUCACCCGUUGUUCACUUGUUUGGGUUUGCGAUCCCCUGUUGUGGGCUAUGUUUCCAGGGAUUUCAGGGAUUUUAAGUCGUAUCCGCUGGCAUUUGGAUUUCAUCUUGUAUGUUUUUUCAGUUUCAUCAAUAAAAAUCAGAAGGGAAAAAAAAAAAAAA